UAUAAAUACAGGGGGUCUGGUUCUCAGCUGUACCAAGUUUUCGACAGUAACCAGUUACAAAUAUCAGUAUAUUAGCGAGCGAGUUCUUCAAGGAAAAGUUGGCUAGACAGAUGGAACAAGUACCGAUGGACCUAGUACCAGUGGACCCGACUGACGCUCGCGUGGUCGAGGUCGGAAAAUUUGCAGUGGCAAAGUACAACGAGAAGAAGCAGACACACCUGGCUUUUGUCGCCGUGAUUGGCGGAUUCACUGGGAAUGUUGUUGGAUUCAAAUUCUACACUCUCAUCCUUGAAACUCAGGAACCUCACCGCCCCACAACUGUGGACAAAGCAUUUGUCCUUGAGAACCCAGAUGGAAGCUUGAACCUCAUCAAAUACUGGGUUUAAUCAAGCGCUACCCUUGAUCAUCAACUGAGGAUCAACGACUUCAAGUGCUUUAAUUAUCGAGUGUCUAUAUAUGGUGUGGUUUUCAGUUUAUGCAUGCAUGGAUGAUGUACAGCUGCCAUGCAUACAUCUUCCCACUGUUUUAUUAGUAUGUUAAAUAAGGUGCACUUAUACCAACAAAAAUGCACCAUUCCGUCUCUGUUUGAGUUUGUGUCUGUGUCUUUUGUGUCUGUGUUUGUAUCCUUGUACUGGUAUGUUAACGGUGCGCUUUUACGAACAAAAAUGCACCGUUAAAUAAAUAAAAACAGUCGUGAGUUUGAGUUUGUA